CCCCGGCCCGGCCCGGUUCCUCCAUCGCCCUGCGGGACCUGCAGCGGCACAAGCCCGGCUCGGCCCCGGUGAGCUCGGUGUCGGCGGAGGCGCUGGGCACGGGGGGUCCCCCGGAACGCGGCCAGACCCCCCGAGCCGAGGGGCUGGGGGCGAGGCGCCGCAGGGAAGGGGCCCAGCAGCGGCGGCAGCGGGUGGGCACCCGUGGGUGCUGCUCCGAGCGCUUCGAGGUGGCCACGCUGCUCUAGGUGGUCCCCCGUGGGGGGGAGGAAAUAAAGAAGCGUGAGAGCA